rnacentral:tRNA from 1 species
UCCCUGGGGGUCUAGUGGUUAGGACUCAGAGCUUUUACCACUGUGGCCCCAGGUUCAAUACCUGGUCAGGGAA